rnacentral:lncRNA from 1 species
GGAGAUUGAACCCAGGGACAGUGAGCUACAUCUCCAGUCUUUUUUAUUUUGAUUUUGAUAAAGGGUCUUGGUUAAGUUGCUGAGGAUCUUGCUAAGUUGCUGAGGAUGACCUCAAACUUGUGAUCCUCCUGCCUCAGUCCUUCAAGUCACUAGGAUUACAUACAUGCACCACCAUGCCCAGCUCUGCUUUUUAUUUUUGGUUGUUUGUUUGUUUCGUUUUCCUGUUGGAAAGUGUUUUCCAAUUUGCCCACUCAGGUCUCCAACCCCUUCUAUCUCAUACAAAACCUUUAGGAACCUCAGAUGCUAUCCUUUCCUAGUGUUUGAAAAGAGUGACAUUUCAAGCAGAAUAGAGACAGUAGAGGCAGAUUCAUGAAGACUCUUUUCUGUAUCCCUUAUUUUUACACCUUUCUGAUAACCAUAUCAUUCAUUGUAAAGAUGGAUCCAAUGUCAGAACCUUAUGCUAGACAACUUGAGAAAUGCUCAGGUACAUAGGCUCUUCUGAAAAGAAUUAAAAGUGAGUCCUUCCUCAUUCUACAGCAUUUCAAACACGAUUUAAGAGUCCCCAACCAUGAUUAAGAACAUUAGGUUAUACUGAUAUAGUAAAAUAAGCUUCAAAUUGAGUCAAAUAGUCAGAUUUGCUUAUGCAUAUUCAGAAUGACAAAAGAAAAUAUUAAUUUCAAUUUACAAGUCAUCAAAAAUUACCUUGUGGGCCACAUAAUGAAUAGCCCUAUGUUAAAGUAAUGC